AUUGAACGCUGGCGGCAGGCCUAACACAUGCAAGUCGAGCGAGCGACGGACGGGUGAGUAAUGUCUGGGGAACUGCCCGAUAGAGGGGGAUAACUACUGGAAACGGUAGCUAAUACCGCAUACCAUCAGAUGUGCCCAGAUGGGAUUAGCUAGUAGGUGGGGUAAUGGCUCACCUAGGCGACGCUCCCUAGCUGGUCUGAGAGGAUGACCAGACACACUGGAACUGAGACACGGUCCAGACUCCUACGGGAGGCAGCAGUGGGGAAUAUUGCACAAUGGGCGCAAGCCUGAUGCAGCCAUGCCGCGUGUAUGAAGAAGGCCUUCGGGUUGUAAAGCACUUUCAGCGGGGAGGCGUUACCCGCAGAAGAAGCACCGGCUAACUCCGUGCCAGCAGCCGCGGUAAUAC
rnacentral:rRNA from 1 species